UAUACCGAUGGAAGGUGUCGGCUCCUCCCCUGUUUGUUAUUCUUCAGUUCUCUCCCAUUUUAAUAUGGAUGAAUGCUGUGGAAAUGAAACAAUCCUAACGCCAAAAAAAGAAGCCACAAAAUUCUCUCUUUACUUUCUCCACUCUCUCCGUCACUUCACCUCCUUUCUCUGAUUAUCUCUCUUUAUCUCACUCUCUCUCUAUCUCUCCAAACGGACCAAACCUUAGCAUCAGACUAUUAGAGGGCAUCAAAACAGAAAGGAACGAAGGAUAUGAGUCUUUUGCUUGCGAUUUUAUCAUUUCUGACAAGAGUGGUCUGAUUGGGUUCCUCCUAAGAGAAGAUGGAGUUUAAGGAUAAGGAUAGUAAUCUCAUAUCCACCUUGCACACCAGCAUUUUCUUGGCUUCCCCAGCCCUGUGAGAAUGUUUUUUUGGAUUAUUGGUUUUGAAGGAGGUUGAGUGAUGAAGAAAAAGAAGGGCACCAUCGAAGAUAUCUAAAACCGAUUUUAGCUCAGAUUUGAUAGCCAUUAAAGGUUGUUGCUGUUGCACUAAAGUGUGAAACAACCUAGGCACAAAUUGAUGACAUGGCUACCAGAUCUAGAAGAUAUCCCAAAUGCCCAAAAGUCACCUGGGAUAGGAUAUAAAGAGAAGACUCAUGGCGUUCUAGAAAAAAAGAAGACAUUAUUUGGAAUUUUUAUUUGAGCUUAUUUGGCUUAUGACGUUGUCUAUAACUAUUUAAUGUGGUUUAUUACAUUGUCAAGAACUA